UACGUAGGGGGCAAGCGUUGUCCGGAUUUAUUGGCGUAAAGAGCGUGUAGGCGGCCAGAUAGGUCCGUUGUGAAAACUGGAGGCUUAACCUCCAGCUGUCGAUGGAAACCAUCUGGCUAGAGUCCGGAAGAGGAGAGUGGAAUUCCUGGAUGUAGCGGUGGAAAUGCGCAGAUAUCAAGGAAGAACACCCGUGGCGAAGGCGGCUCUCUGGUACGUGACUGACGCUGAGACGCGAAGCGUGGGGAGCGAACAGG
rnacentral:rRNA from 1 species